GACGAGGGGUCCUAGCGUUGUUCGGAAUCAUUGGGCGUAAAGCGGGUGUAGGCGGCUCUAUAAGUCAGAAGUGAAAGCCCUGGGCUUAACCCGGGAAGUGCUUUUGAUACUGCAGAGCUUGAAUGUGGGAGAGGGUAGUGGAAUUCCAGGUGUAGUGGUGAAAUACGUAGAUAUCUGGAGGAACACCGGUGGCGAAGGCGGCUACCUGGCCCAACAUUGACGCUGAGACCCGAAAGCAUGGGGAUCAAACAGG
rnacentral:rRNA from 1 species